rnacentral:tRNA from 1 species
GCGCCCGUAGCUCAGCUGGAUAGAGUCCCUGGCUUCGAACCAGGUUGUCGGCAGUUCGAAUCUGUCCGGGCGCGCCA